UCCCCUCUUUCCUAGACCUCUACUUAAUUUAGCGUCAGGCGAAGUCUCAGAGCCAAAAGGGGUGUUUUUUUUUUUUUUUUUCUGUUUUGGUUAUUUAUUUAUUUAUUUAUUUUUUAGCGCGAUGGGGCUCGUUUUACGGCAGCUCUGACCGAGAUGGAGUAAGUGUAUAUGAUAUUAUAUGUAGCAGUUAUACUUUUAUAUAUAUAUAAAAAAAAAAUGUUUUCCCAGUGCAGCAAAACUGUACUGGGAAUUGCAGUGCAAAAUGCAAGUUUUAAAAUUAAUUCAUCCUGACAGGUUUGACAUCGCCCGGCUCCCUUUUUCCUGCAACUACGUCCGCAAAUGAAUGCCGCUUCCAGAGUGUACGUGCUGUGCUGAGCACUCUGUCAGGUCUGUGACAGUCAACAGCAAAUAAAGAACUGCAAACCAGAGCACAAGUUGUCAUUAUCAAGUGAGCCAUUCCUUCCAAAAACAGAUGGAGAGAGAUGCCACUCCUUAUUUUACAAAAUGCAUAUUUAGAAGAGCUGACUGGGGCUGGGAGCUGCCCUUUUCCUGGAGUAGGACAACCUUGCCAGCUGGGCGUUUGGAGGACAGCAAGGAGUUUGCCCACAACUGGGAAGAGCAGGAAGAACACAGAGAGCAAGGCCUUGGAGGAGGCACAAGAAAAGACUGCUAAAGGAGUCAGAGCACUACUUCUGCAGUUUUCCAAAGCCAACAUACUGGCCCUGAGCCUAGCGGACAUCACUGAUGUGCAUGUAUGUAAGGGGUUUGUAUGGAUGUUCAACUCUAUCUUGUCUUUGGCAGUUUGAAUUUUACCUGCUCUAAAAUGGUGGUUGUCAUCUCUCCUGAUGUAACCAUUCCCCGUGUUUAAAGACAACAAAUACAAAAUAUCUGUAAAUACAAGUCUGAAUUUUAUAAGGCCUUUUGGUCUUAAACAGGUGCUUGCAGUUUUACCACAAAGCUUCUAAAACUUCCAGUUGUGAAAAUAAUUUUUAAGUCCUGCUAGAAGCUUGCAAAUGAUGGAAGAUUAAAGGUUAUGGUACCAAAUUAUAACAAAAAUCCAAAUAUAUACUUUCAAAGAGAAAUAUGCUUAAUAUUUGCUGCCAUUACUUUUAGCAUUUAAGUUUUGGUAUGAGCAGCCUCAAGUACUUGCCAAGUUUUUAUAGGUAACCUGUUGUUUGCAAAUCAAAGAAAUAUCCCAUUUCCUGACCUUUGACUUUUUGUUUGUUCUCACACACACAAUAUUUGAUUCAUAAGAGAAAAUUUUAGUAUUCGCUAUUAGGCUUAGAUACUUUUGCAGUUAAUGUAUGACUUUCAACUUAAUCUUGUUUUUCUUUAAUUUUUUGUGCUAGGUGUUUUUCUUGAAAAUGUGUUAAAAUGUAAGUCAGCUGACUUCCUUCAUAGGUAAUAAAUAAAAUAAGAUUUUCCUCUUGUGCUAUUUU
rnacentral:lncRNA from 1 species